CAAUAGCGUAUAUUAAUGUUGCUGCAGUUAAAAAGCUCGUAGUUGGAUUUGUGGCGGGUCCUGUGGCUCGGUCUUUAUUGACCGGUGCCGUUUUGGGCCUGCCAUCCUUGGGUGGAAUCAGUGUGGCAUUAAGUUGUCGCGCUGGGGAUGCCCAUCGUUUACUGUGAAAAAUUAGAGUGUUCAAAGCAGGCUUACGCCGUUGAAUAUAUUAGCAUGGAAUAAUGAGAUAGGACCUUGGUACUAUUUUGUUGGUUUGCGCACCGAGGUAAUGAUUAAUAGGGACAGUUGGGGGUAUUCGUAUUCCAUUGUCAGAGGUGAAAUUCUUGGAUUUCUGGAAGACGAACUACUGCGAAAGCAUUUACCAAGGAUGUUUUCAUUAAUCAAGAACGAAAGUUAGGGGAUCGAAGAUGAUCAGAUACCAU
rnacentral:rRNA from 1 species